ACCUGCAACGGAGGAUGUUAGCAAAUCCUUAGCAUCAAUUCCUAAGCUAAAUGGAUUAAAAAAAUAUUAAAACAAUUCCUGUAGCUAAGAAUGAAUCUUUAGCUAAGGGAAUUAAGGAUUUGAUCCUUAACUCUUCUGCUCAUCCAUCUCGCUCUUUUCUUCCUGUUCAGUUCUUCCUCACUUCCCAUUCACUUCCCAAUUCUUCUUCGCAUCCAUAACCUCAUUUAAUUUCAACACAACUUCUCCUCUCUCUCCCCGUCAAUACUCAUCCUCUCUCUCGCGACGAGAUCCUCUCUCUCCGUCACGUCGAUACGAUCUUCAUCGAAUCCAGAAACUUUCGUUCAAGUGAUUGAAGGCUCUUACCACUGUUCCCCUUCCGCCAGAGCCAUCGAUAUGGAAUAAGAGUAUUUAUUUUGUUACUAGAAGCUUUGAUUGAGAUCAGUCCCAAUCUCACAAACGAUCUGAAUGAGUAAUUAAGUUGUUUCCAGGGCAAACGGUAAUUGCGGCUGUUUAUGGCACAAGAGAGAUUCAAUACAAAAGCCAACAAAAGAAUGGUCAUGUAUUGGUAUGUGUAUGUUUGUGUAUACUCUUCUUUGCAUAAAGCUUUGUGAAUUUGAAGUGCUUAUGGAUACGUCGCUGCAGCUUCUCUCAGACUUGUUUAAACAUAAGAAAUGAAUAUUGAAUCAUUGUUUAGUGUUGUCUUACUCUGUUCUUGUUCUUCAUAUGUUUAACAAAAAAAACUUUUUUUCUCCUAAGGAUUCUUAAAAGGAAUCCACCAUUGGACUGCUUAUUUUGCUAAGAAUCCUUAUCUAUUCACUAAAAAAAAAAUACUAAAAUAGUCUCUAAAGACUCCACAAUGGAAUCCACCAUUGUGGA